GCAGUCAAAGCAACAAUUAUUUUUCUUCUCCAUCCCCCAAAACCAUCACUUGAGAAGGGUGUGGGGACAAGAGAUACCCCGGGAACAUCGGAGGAGUAUAGCAAUAAAGGACUUGAAGAGUCCAAAAGACCAGUAUUGGUGGUACCAGUACUGGUGUUAGCAGUAUUGGUGUUAGCAUCCAUGAUAUAUCAACAAGGAAGAACAGAUUCAGCAA
rnacentral:lncRNA from 1 species